CUACUGUGACUAAGUUUAAUGUUUUAUGUUUCUACAGAACAGGAACUUGCUGGAAACCAGUUUGUAAACUGAGUCAGACCCGUUUAUAUUGUAAUGUAAUGUUACUUUUUACUUUCCUCUAUGAUAAAUAUGAAUGAAUGAA